rnacentral:rRNA from 1 species
UACGUGGGGUGCGAGCGUUAAUCGGAAUUACUGGGCGUAAAGCGUGCGCAGGCGGCUUUGCAAGACAGAUGUGAAAUCCCCGGGCUCAACCUGGGAACUGCAUUUGUGACUGCAAGGCUGGAGUGCGGCAGAGGGGGAUGGAAUUCCGCGUGUAGCAGUGAAAUGCGUAGAUAUGCGGAGGAACACCGAUGGCGAAGGCAAUCCCCUGGGCCUGCACUGACGCUCAUGCACGAAAGCGUGGGGAGCAAACAGG